GACGAACGCUGGCGGCGUGCUUAACACAUGCAAGUCGAGCGGUAAGGCCCUUUCGGGGGUACGCGAGCGGCGAACGGGUGAGUAACACGUGGGUGACCUGCCCUUAGCUCUGGGAUAAGCCUGGGAAACUGGGUCUAAUACCGGAUAUGACUCCAUGACGCAUGUUGUGGGGUGGAAAGCCUUGUGCGGCUAGGGAUGGGCCUGCGGCCUAUCAGCUUGCUGGUGGGGUGANGGCCUACCAAGGCGACGACGGGUAGCCGGCCUGAGAGGGCGACCGGCCACACUGGGACUGAGACACGGCCCAGACUCCUACGGGAGGCAGCAGUGGGGAAUCUUGCGCAAUGGGCGAAAGCCUGACGCAGCGACGCCGCGGU
rnacentral:rRNA from 1 species